UACGUAGGGGCCAAGCGUUGUCCGGAUUUAUUGGGCGUAAAGAGCUCGUAGGCGGUUUGGAUAGUCGGGUGUGAAAACUCCGAGCUUAACUCGGAGACGCCACCCGAUACUGCCAUGACUAGAGUCCGGUAGGGGAGCAGGGAAUUCCUGGUGUAGCGGUGAAAUGACGCAGAUAUCAGGAGGAACACCAGUGGCGAAGGCGCCACCUCUGGGCCGUAA
rnacentral:rRNA from 1 species